rnacentral:rRNA from 1 species
UACGUAGGGUGCGAGCGUUGUCCGGAAUUAUUGGGCGUAAAGGGCUCGUAGGCGGUUUGUCACGUCGGGAGUGAAAACUCGGGGCUUAACCCCGAGCCUGCUUCCGAUACGGGCAGACUAGAGGUAUGCAGGGGAGAACGGAAUUCCUGGUGUAGCGGUGAAAUGCGUAGAUAUCUGGAAGAACACCGGUGGCGAAGGCGGUGGUCUGGACCGUGACUGACGCUGAGGAGCGAAAGCCAGGGGAGCGAACGGG